CGAGGGGCAGCGCGGGAUAGCAAUAUCCUGGCGGCGACCGGCGGAAGGGUGCGUAACGCGUGAGCGACAUGCCCGUUGCCCGGGGACAACCGGUGGAAACGCCGACUAAUCCCCGAUGGGAUACGAUGCUUCAUGGCAUUGUAUUGAAAGUUACGGCGGCGACGGAUUGGCUCGCGUCCGAUUAGCUUGUUGGCGGGGUAACGGCCCACCAAGGCUACGAUCGGUAGGGGUUCUGAGAGGAAGGCCCCCCACAAUGGGACUGAGACACGGCCCAUACUCCUACGGGAGGCAGCAGUGAGGAAUAUUGGUCAAUGGGCGGAAGCCUGAACCAGCCAUGCCGCGUGCGGGAAGGAGGCCCUAUGGGCUGUGAACCGCUUUUGCCUGGGGGCAAUAAGGGCGUCGCGCACGUCCGAUGAGAGUACCAGGCGAAUAAGCAUCGGCUAACUCCGUGCCAGCAGCCGCGGUAAUACGGGGGAUGCGAGCGUUAUCCCGAUUCAUUGGGUUUAAAGGGUGCGUAGGCUGUGCGUCAAGUCGGGGGUGAAAUUCCGGUGCUCAACACCGGGGCUGCCCUUGAUACUGUCGCGCUGGAGUGCGGAUGCCGCCGGAGGAAUGAGUGGUGUAGCGGUGAAAUGCUUAGAUAUCACUCAGAACACCGAUUGCGAAGGCAUCUGGCGAAUCCGUAACUGACGCUGAGGCACGAAAGCGUGGGGAUAGAACAGGAUUAGAUACCCUGGUAUUCCACGCCGUAAACGAUGAUGGCUAACCGCCGGCGACACACUGUCGGUGGCCAAGCGAAAGCGAUAAGCCAUCCACCUGGGGAGUACGUCGGCAACGAUGAAACUCAAAGGAAUUGACGGGGGCCCGCACAAGCGGAGGAACAUGUGGUUUAAUUCGAUGAUACGCGAGGAACCUUACCCGGGCUCGAACGGCACCUGGAUCGCCCAGAGAUGGGCGAGUCUUCGGACAGGUGUCGAGGUGCUGCAUGGUUGUCGUCAGCUCGUGCCGUGAGGUGUCGGCUCAAGUGCCAUAACGAGCGCAACCCUUGCCGCCAGUUGCCAUCAGGUGAUGCUGGGCACUC
rnacentral:rRNA from 1 species